GACGAACGCUGGCGGCGUGCCUAAUACAUGCAAGUAGAACGCUGAAGAGAGGAGCUUGCUCUUCUUGGAUGAGUUGCGAACGGGUGAGUAACGCGUAGGUAACCUGCCUUGUAGCGGGGGAUAACUAUUGGAAACGAUAGCUAAUACCGCAUAACAAUGGAUGACACAUGUCAUUUAUUUGAAAGGGGCAAUUGCUCCACUACAAGAUGGACCUGCGUUGUAUUAGCUAGUAGGUGAGGUAAUGGCUCACCUAGGCGACGAUACAUAGCCGACCUGAGAGGUUGAUCGGCCACACUGGGACUGAGACACGGCCCAGACUCCUACGGGAGGCAGCAGUAGGGAAUCUUCGGCAAUGGGGGCAACCCUGACCGAGCAACGCCGCGUGAGUGAAGAAGGUUUUCGGAUCGUAAAGCUCUGUUGUAAGUCAAGAACGGGUGUGAGAGUGGAAAGUUCACACUGUGACGGUAGCUUACCAGAAAGGGACGGCUAACUACGUG
rnacentral:rRNA from 1 species